CAGUAGCCGCGGUAAUACGUAGGUCCCGAGCGUUGUCCGGAUUUAUUGGGCGUAAAGCGAGCGCAGGCGGUUAGAUAAGUCUGAAGUUAAAGGCUGUGGCUUAACCAUAGUACGCUUUGGAAACUGUUUAACUUGAGUGCAAGAGGGGAGAGUGGAAUUCCAUGUGUAGCGGUGAAAUGCGUAGAUAUAUGGAGGAACACCGGUGGCGAAAGCGGCUCUCUGGCUUGUAACUGACACUGAGGCGCGAAAGCGUGGGGAGCAAACAGGAUUAGAUACCCCAGUAGUCCCUGUCUCUUAUACA
rnacentral:rRNA from 1 species